rnacentral:sRNA from 1 species
UUUUCCCGGCUGGGCUCGGACUCAGCUCGACUGGGCUCGGCGGGCGGCGGCGGCGGCGCCGGCGGCUGGCGGAGGAGGGAGGGCGAGGGCGGGCGCGGGCCGGCGGGCGGGCGGAAGAGGGAGGAGAGGCGCGGGGAGCCAGGCCUCGGGGCCUCGGAGCAGCCACCCGAGCAGACGGAGUACACGGAGCAGCGGCCCCGGCCCCGCCAGCGCUGCCGCCGGGUACGUGGCUACACCACUGGCUGCCCUCUUGAACAUAAAGGAGAAAACUCGGCUGCGGGCACCUCCCAACGCCACCUUGGAACAUUUCUACCUGACCAGUGGCAAGCAGCCCAAGCAGGUGGAAGUAGAGCUUUUGUCCCGGCAGAGCGGGCUCUCUGGCCGCCAGGUAGAGCGUUGGUUCCGUCGCCGCCGCAACCAGGACCGGCCCAGUCUCCUCAAGAAGUUCCGAGAAGCCAGCUGGAGAUUCACAUUUUACCUGAUUGCCUUCAUUGCCGGCAUGGCCGUCAUUGUGGAUAAACCCUGGUUCUAUGACAUGAAGAAAGUUUGGGAGGGAUAUCCCAUACAGAGCACUAUCCCUUCCCAGUAUUGGUACUACAUGAUUGAACUUUCCUUCUACUGGUCCCUGCUCUUCAGCAUUGCCUCUGAUGUCAAGCGAAAGGAUUUCAAGGAACAGAUCAUCCACCAUGUGGCCACCAUCAUUCUCAUCAGCUUUUCCUGGUUUGCCAAUUACAUCCGAGCUGGGACUCUAAUCAUGGCUCUGCAUGACUCUUCCGAUUACCUGCUGGAGUCAGCCAAGAUGUUUAACUACGCGGGAUGGAAGAACACCUGCAACAACAUCUUCAUCGUCUUCGCCAUUGUUUUCAUCAUCACCCGACUGGUCAUCCUGCCCUUCUGGAUCCUGCAUUGCACCCUGGUGUACCCACUGGAGCUCUAUCCUGCCUUCUUUGGCUAUUACUUCUUCAAUUCCAUGAUGGGAGUUCUACAGCUGCUGCAUAUCUUCUGGGCCUACCUCAUUUUGCGCAUGGCCCACAAGUUCAUAACUGGAAAGCUGGUAGAAGAUGAACGCAGUGACCGGGAAGAAACAGAGAGCUCAGAGGGGGAGGAGGCUGCAGCUGGGGGAGGAGCAAAGAGCCGGCCCCUAGCCAAUGGCCACCCCAUCCUCAAUAACAACCAUCGUAAGAAUGACUGAACCAUUAUUCCAGCUGCCUCCCAGAUUAAUGCAUAAAGCCAAGGAACUACCCCCCUCCCCGCGCUAUAGGGUCACUUUAAGCUCUGGGGAAAAAGGAGAAAGUGAGAGGAGAGUUCUCUGCAUCCUCCCUCCUUGUCACCCAGUUGCCUUUAAACCAAAUUCUAACCAGCCUAUCCCCAGGUAGGGGGACGUUGGUUAUAUUCUGUUAGAGGGGGAUGGUCGUAUUUUCCUCCCUAUCCGCCAAGUCAUCCUUUCUACUGCUUUUGAGGCCCUCCCUCAGCUCUCUGUGGGUAGGGGUUACAAUUCACAUUCCUUAUUCUGAGAAUUUGGCCCCAGCUGUUUGCCUUUGACUCCCUGACCUCCAGAGCCAGGGUUGUGCCUUAUUGUCCCAUCUGUGGGCCUCAUUCUGCCAAAGCUGGACCAAGGCUAACCUUUCUAAGCUCCCUAACUUGGGCCAGAAACCAAAGCUGAGCUUUUAACUUUCUCCCUCUAUGACACAGAUGAAUUGAGGGUAGGAGGAGGGUGCACAUAACCCUUACCCUACCUCUGCCAAAAAGUGGGGGCUGUACUGGGGACUGCUCGGAUGAUCUUUCUUAGUGCUACUUCUUUCAGCUGUCCCUGUAGCGACAGGUCUAAGAUCUGACUGCCUCCUCCUUUCUCUGGCCUCUUCCCUUUCCCUCUUCUCUUCAGCUAGGCUAGCUGGUUUGGAGUAGAAUGGCAACUAAUUCUAAUUUUUAUUUAUUAAAUAUUUGGGGUUUUGGUUUUAAAGCCAGAAUUACGGCUAGCACCUAGCAUUUCAGCAGAGGGACCAUUUUAGACCAAAAUGUACUGUUAAUGGGUUUCUUUUUUAAAUUAAAAGAUUAAAUAAAAAAUAUUAAAUAAAACAUGGCAAUAAGUGUCAGACUAUUAGGAAUUGAGAAGGGGGAUCAACUAAAUAAACGAAGAGAGUCUUUCUUAUGCCUUCCUUGCA